UACGAAGGGGGCUAGCGUUGUUCGGAAUUACUGGCGUAAGCGUGCGCAGGCGGUGAGUGUAAGACAGAUGUGAAAUCCCCGGGCUCAACCUGGGACCUGCAUUUGUGACUGCAUCGCUGGAGUGCGGCAGAGGAGACUGGAAUUCCUGGUGUAGCAGUGAAAUGCGUAGAUAUCAGGAGGAAUACCGAUGGCGAAGGCAGGUCUCUGGGCUGACACUGACGCUCAUGCACGAAAGCGUGGGGAGCAAACAGG
rnacentral:rRNA from 1 species